rnacentral:rRNA from 1 species
UACGUAGGGGGCAAGCGUUGUCCGGAUUUAUUGGGUUUAAAGGGUGCGUAGGCGGUGUCCUAAGUCAGUUGUGAAAUCCGGCAGCUUAACUGUCGAGGUGCAAUUGAUACUGGGAUACUUGAGUACUGAUGAGGUAUGCGGAAUGGACGGUGUAGCGGUGAAAUGCUUAGAUAUGACAUAGAACACCUAUUGCGAAGGCAGCUUACUACGCAGAUAUUGACGCUCAUGCACGAAAGCGUGGGGAUCAAACAGG